rnacentral:rRNA from 1 species
CCUACGGGAGGCAGCAGUCGAGAAUCAUUCACAAUGGGGGAAACCCUGAUGGUGCGACGCCGCGUGGGGGAAUGAAGGUCUUCGGAUUGUAAACCCCUGUCAUGUGGGAGCAAAUUAAAAAGAUAGUACCACAAGAGGAAGAGACGGCUAACUCUGUGCCAGCAGCCGCGGUAAUACAGAGGUCUCAAGCGUUGUUCGGAAUCACUGGGCGUAACGCGUGCGUAGGCUGUUUCGUAAGUCGUGUGUGAAAGGCGCGGGCUCAACCCGCGGACGGCACAUGAUACUGCGAGACUAGAGUAAUGGAGGGGGAACCGGAAUUCUCGGUGUAGCAGUGAAAUGCGUAGAUAUCGAGAGGAACACUCGUGGCGAAGGCGGGUUCCUGGACAGUAACUGACGCUGAGGCACGAAGGCCAGGGGAGCGAAAGGGAUUAGAUACCCUAGUAGUC